GGUUGUGGCUCAGUGGUAGAGUGCUUGCCUAGAAUGUGUGAGGCCCUGGGUUCAAUUCUCAGUACCG
rnacentral:tRNA from 1 species